rnacentral:rRNA from 1 species
ACGCUGGCGGCGUGCUUAACACAUGCAAGUCGAACGGGAUCCUCUCCAGCUUGCUGGGGGGGUGAGAGUGGCGAACGGGUGAGUAAUGCGUGACUAACCUGCCUCAUGGUCUGGAAUAGCUCCUGGAAACGGGUGGUAAUGCCGGAUGGUCCAACUUUCCGCAUGGUUUGUUGGGAAAGCUUUUGCGCCAUGGGAUGGGGUCGCGUCCUAUCAGCUUGUUGGUGGGGUGUUGGCCUACCAAGGCUUCGACGGGUAGCCGGCCUAAGAGGGCGACCGGCCACAUUGGGACUGAGAUACAGCCCAGACUCCUACGGGAGGCAGCAGUGGGGAAUAUUGCACAAUGGGGGGAACCCUGAUGCAGCGACGCCGCGUGCGGGAUGGAGGCCUUCGGGUCGUGAACCGCUUUUACAGGGGAGCAAGCUUUCGGGUGAGUUAACUUUGUGAAUAAGCACCGGUUAACUACGUGCCAGCAGCCGCGGUAAUACGUAGGGUGCAAGCGUUGUCCGGAUUUAUUGGGCGUAAAGGGCUCGUAGGCGGUUCGUCGCGUCUGGUGUGAAAGCCCACUGCUUAACGGUGGGUUUGCGUUGGAUACGGGCGGGCUUGAGUGCGGUAGGGGAGACUGGAAUUCUCGGUGUAACGGUGGAAUGUGUAGAUAUCGGGAAGAACACCUAUGGCGAAGGCAGGUCUCUGGGCUGUUACUGACGCUGAGGAGCGAAAGCGUGGGGAGCGAACAGGAUUAGAUACCCUGGUAGUCCACGCUGUAAACGGUGGACGCUGGAUGUGGGGCCCAUUUCCACGGGUUCCGUGUCGGAGCUAACGCGUUAAGCGUCCCGCCUGGGGAGUACGGCCGCAAGGCUAAAACUCAAAGAAAUUGACGGGGGCCCGCACAAGCGGCGGAGCAUGCGGAUUA